UUGCUCGUACAACGACGGAGCUUAUAAGAUUUCUUCGGAAUGAACUUGAGUGAAUUCCUGGCGAACGGGUGAGUAAUGCGUGAGUAACCUGCCUUACACAAGGGGAUAGCCUCUGGAAACGGAGAAUAAUACCCUAUGAAACUAUCUUAUCGCAUGAAAAGAUAGUCAAAGUGUUUUAGCGGUGUAAGAUGGACUUGCGUCUGAUUAGCUAGUUGGUGAGAUAACAGCCCACCAAGGCAACGAUCAGUAGCCGGCUUGAGAGAGUGUACGGCCACAUUGGGACUGAGACACGGCCCAGACUCCUACGGGAGGCAGCAGUGGGGAAUUUUGCACAAUGGGGGCAACCCUGAUGCAUCGACGCCGCCUGAUUUACAAGGCCUUCGGGUUGUAAAAAUCUUUUGUAUAGGAAGACAAUGACAG
rnacentral:rRNA from 1 species